rnacentral:rRNA from 1 species
GGAUGAACGCUGGCGGCGUGCCUAAUACAUGCAAGUCGAGCGAACAGACGAGGAGCUUGCUCCUCUGACGUUCGCGGCGGACGGGUGAGUAACACGUGGAUAACCUACCUAUAAGACUGGGAUAACUUCGGGAAACCGGAGCUAAUACCGGAUAAUAUAUUGAACCGCAUGGUUCAAUAGUGAAAGACGGUUUUGCUGUCACUUAUAGAUGGAUCCGCGCCGCAUUAGCUAGUUGGUAAGGUAACGGCUUACCAAGGCGACGAUGCGUAGCCGACCUGAGAGGGUGAUCGGCCACACUGGAACUGAGACACGGUCCAGACUCCUACGGGAGGCAGUAGUAGGGAAUCUUCCGCAAUGGGCGAAAGCCUGACGGAGCAACGCCGCGUGAGUGAUGAAGGUCUUCGGAUCGUAAAACUCUGUUAUUAGGGAAGAACAAAUGUGUAAGUAACUAUGCACGUCUUGACGGUACCUAAUCAGAAAGCCACGGCUAACUACGUG